AGUGAACGCUGGCGGUAGGCCUAACACAUGCAAGUCGAACGGCAGCACAGUAAGAGCUUGCUCUUACGGGUGGCGAGUGGCGGACGGGUGAGGAAUACAUCGGAAUCUACUUUUUCGUGGGGGAUAACGUAGGGAAACUUACGCUAAUACCGCAUACGACCUACGGGAGAAAGCAGGGGAUCUUCGGACCUUGCGCGAUUGAAUGAGCCGAUGUCGGAUUAGCUAGUUGGCGGGGUAAAGGCCCACCAAGGCGACGAUCCGUAGCUGGUCUGAGAGGAUGAUCAGCCACACUGGAACUGAGACACGGUCCAGACUCCUACGGGAGGCAGCAGUGGGGAAUAUUGGACAACGGGCGCAAGCCUGAUCCAGCCAUACCGCGUGGGUGAAGAAGGCCUUCGGGUUGUAAAGCCCUUUUGUUGGGAAAGAAAAGCAGCAGGUUAAUACCCCGCUGUUCUGACGGUACCCAAAGAAUAAGCACCGGCUAACUUCGUG
rnacentral:rRNA from 1 species